rnacentral:misc_RNA from 1 species
AAGUCGUAACAAGGUCUCCGUUGGUGAACCAGCGGAGGGAUCAUUAAAGAGUUGCAAAACUCCCAACCAUUGCUAAACAACCACUGUUUCUUCGGCGGGUGGCCGCAUGGCCGCGCGCACCCCUCUCGGGGGGGACGCACCCCGCCGGAGCACACCAAACUCUUGUCAUUAUUGAUGCUCUGAGUAAAAAACAAAAUUAUUACAACUUUCAACAAUGGAUCUCUUGGCUCUG